rnacentral:rRNA from 1 species
GAGGAGGAGCCCGGAGAUGGGCACUGAGACAAGGGCCCAGGCCCUAUGGGGCGCAGCAGGCGUGAAACCUCUGCAAUAGGCGAAAGCUUGACAGGGUUACUCUGAGUGAUUUCCGUUAAGGAGAUCUUUUGGCACCUCUAAAAAUGGUGCAGAAUAAGGGGUGGGCAAGUCUGGUGUCAGCCGCCGCGGUAAUACCAGCACCCCGAGUGGUCGGGACGUUUAUUGGGCCUAAAGCAUCCGUAGCCGGUUCUACAAGUCUUCCGUUAAAUCCACCUGCUUAACAGAUGGGCUGCGGAAGAUACUAUAGAGCUAGGAGGCGGGAGAGGCAAGCGGUACUCGAUGGGUAGGGGUAAAAUCCGUUGAUCCAUUGAAGACCACCAGUGGCGAAGGCGGCUUGCCAGAACGCGCUCGACGGUGAGGGAUGAAAGCUGGGGGAGCAAACCGGAUUAGAUACCCGGGUAGUCCCAGCUGUAAACGAUGCAGACUCGGUGAUGAGUUGGCUUAUUGCUAACUCAGUGCCGCAGGGAAGCCGUUAAGUUUGCCGCCUGGGGAGUACGGUCGCAAGACUGAAACUUAA